rnacentral:rRNA from 1 species
GAUGAACGCUGGCGGCGUGCCUAAUACAUGCAAGUCGAGCGAACAGAUGAGGAGCUUGCUCCCCUGACGUUAGCGGCGGACGGGUGAGUAACACGUGGAUAACCUACCUAUAAGACUGGGAUAACUUCGGGAAACCGGAGCUAAUACCGGAUAAUAUAUUGAACCGCAUGGUUCAAUAGUGAAAGACGGUUUUGCUGUCACUUAUAGAUGGAUCCGCGCCGCAUUAGCUAGUUGGUAAGGUAACGGCUUACCAAGGCAACGAUGCGUAGCCGACCUGAGAGGGUGAUCGGCCACACUGGAACUGAGACACGGUCCAGACUCCUACGGGAGGCAGCAGUAGGGAAUCUUCCGCAAUGGGCGAAAGCCUGACGGAGCAACGCCGCGUGAGUGAUGAAGGUCUUCGGAUCGUAAAACUCUGUUAUUAGGGAAGAACAAAUGUGUAAGUAACUAUGCACGUCUUGACGGUACCUAAUCAGAAAGCCACGGCUAACUACGUG